rnacentral:tRNA from 1 species
AUAGCUCAGCUGGAUAGAGUACUCGGCUACGAACCGAGCGGUCGGAGGUUCGAAUCCUCCUGGAUGCACCA